CCCUAUUACGUGGCGCAGCCGGCGCGAAAACUUUCCAAUGCGGGCAAACCUCAUAAGGGGACUCCCAUGCCAGCCCUAAUACUGGCUGUCCUCGUAGUAAAAACCACGUAGCUGGCU
rnacentral:rRNA from 1 species